rnacentral:rRNA from 1 species
AACGAACGCUGGCGGCAUGCCUAACACAUGCAAGUCGAACGAGACCUUCGGGUCUAGUGGCGCACGGGUGCGUAACGCGUGGGAACCUGCACUUAGGUUCGGAAUAACUCCCCGAAAGGGGUGCUAAUACCGGAUAAUGUCUUCGGACCAAAGAUUUAUCGCAUUUGGAUGGGCCCGCGUUGGAUUAGGUAGUUGGUAGGGUAAAAGCCUACCAAGGCGACGAUCCAUAGCUGGUCUGAGAGGAUGAUCAGCCACACUGGGACUGAGACACGGCCCAGACUCCUACGGGAGGCAGCAGUGGGGAAUAUUGGACAAUGGGCGAAAGCCUGAUCCAGCAAUGCCGCGUGAGUGAUGAAGGCCUUAGGGUUGUAAAGCUCUUUUACCCGGGAUGAUAAUGACAGUACCGGGAGAAUAAGCUCCGGCUAACUCCGUG